rnacentral:rRNA from 1 species
AUUGAACGCUGGCGGCAUGCCUUACACAUGCAAGUCGAACGGUAGCGGGCCUUCGGGUGCCGACGAGUGGCGAACGGGUGAGUAAUUUAUCGGAACGUACCUUUCAGUGGGGGAUAACGUAGCGAAAGUUACGCUAAUACCGCAUAUUCUGUGAGCAGGAAAGCAGGGGAUCGCAAGACCUUGCGCUGAUUGAGCGGCCGGGAUCAGAUUAGCUAGGUGGUGAGGUAAAGGCUCACCAAGGCGACUAUCUGUAGCGGGUCUGAGAGGAUGAUCCGCCACACUGGAACUGAGACACGGUCCAGACUCCUACGGGAGGCAGCAGUGGGGAAUUUUGGACAAUGGGGGCAACCCUGAUCCAGCCAUGCCGCGUGAGUGAAGAAGGCCUUCGGGUUGUAAAGCUCUUUCGGCCGGGAAGAAAUCGUAUCAGCUAAUACCUGGUGCGGAUGACGGUACCGGCAUAAGAAGUACCGGCUAACUACGUGCCAGCCGCCGCUGUAAAAC